AUUGAACGCUGGCGGCAGGCUUAACACAUGCGAGUCGAGCGGAGAUGAGGUGCUUGCACCUUAUCUUAGCGGCGGACGGGUGAGUAAUGCUUAGGAAUCUGCCUAUUAGUGGGGGACAACAUUCCGAAAGGAAUGCUAAUACCGCAUACGUCCUACGGGAGAAAGCAGGGGAUCUUCGGACCUUGCGCUAAUAGAUGAGCCUAAGUCGGAUUAGCUAGUUGGUGGGGUAAAGGCCUACCAAGGCGACGAUCUGUAGCGGGUCUGAGAGGAUGAUCCGCCACACUGGGACUGGGAAACGGCCCAGACUCCUACGGGAGGCAGCAGUGGGGAAUAUUGGACAAUGGGCGGAAGCCUGAUCCAGCCAUGCCGCGUGUGUGAAGAAGGCCUUUUGGUUGUAAAGCACUUUAAGCGAGGAGGAGGCUACCUAGAUUAAUACUCUGGGAUAGUGGACGUUACUCGCAGAAUAAGCACCGGCUAACUCUGUGCCAGCCGCCGCGGUAAAAC
rnacentral:rRNA from 1 species